rnacentral:lncRNA from 1 species
ACCAUGUGAGCAUUGGGGCCUCUUCCCACCACAUGCCCAGUGCCUACAGGGCCGUAGACAAGCCAGCUGUAUCUAAAGCCAUCAGGAGGCAAGCAAGGUUUCACACCUCAGGGUGUGAUCUGUGACAGGAACUUUCGCUGUGAAACAGGCCUGCCAAGGGACCUCACACCUUCUUACUCCUCAGCUGAGAACUGUUAUUCACAUUGCAUGGAUCACCUGUGAAAGGGCACAGUGAAAACCCACCCUAGGCAGCAGAUGGCCCCACAGGACUGGGUUCCUGGAAGCCAUGUUGUUUUUGGAAGAGGAGAAGUGAUAUAGUGCAGGUGAAAUCCUUUCACAACUUUUCUAUCUGUGUCACUGAGAGUUCCAAAGGGUUAUUGGUUUAAACUGAUGUUAGUGAUAAGAAAAUAAUGCUGACCAGUUGACAAUUUCCAGCUGUGAGCUAACAAAUCUUCUUAAAUAUGUGCCCAGAUUGCUUGCUUUCCUCUUAGCUGUGGGCAGUAUUGUUAAGCUAAACUGAGCAGGAGGUCUUUCUGAAGCCCUGAAUUCAUGCUUUGGGAAUAUGAGGGUUAGAAAAGUUGUGGGAGCCCUUUGCUCCCUGGUGAGUAAUGCUUCUCUGAAGGAGCAAGGGAAGCUGGAGGGAAAGCUGAAUUUAUAAAGUGUAAGUGUGCAAAGCUGCUUAAAAAUUUAUGAAUGAAGGGGCAGCUGGAGCAGAGGGCCUUGGAGUAAGAAUAUGACUCUGGCCUGAGCUGGGUCUGGAGCUGUGUGCAGUUCUGCUAAUGCAAUACUCCAGCAAGAUCCUCUCUGACAUGAGAAGCAUCUUCCCUGAGGCAGCCUGAAGUUGGAAGAGGUCUGAAGUUAUUAGCAAUACGGGUGCAGAACGUGGCUGGUGUGACAAGGAGCAGCUGAGGUGCCUGCAGAGCCCAACUCCUACACACACACACUGUCACUGCAGCUUCCUCCGCAUCUGUGCUGCGGAAACACCUCCUUUGCCCAUGAAAAGCCUGGUGGAAGUGGAGCGUACUGAUUUGUGAGUCACUGG